CUCGGUCCUUCCCGGCUGCCUGCAAGUCAGCCUGGCUCCGAGUCACGUGUCAGUGCCUGAGGCAGAGACUGAGAAAAAAACGCGCUUCAUUCCUUCUUCCACCGCCAUACUGUAUUUUAUACUAAAUCUCAUUUUUAUUCCAACAUUUUACUCCCGCUCGUGGAAGGUUUCUCUGGAAAAAAAAAAAUGAAGUGCGGUUUGGUUUCCUUGUCAACGGAGGAUGAAGUGAACAGCUGAGCAGCUCGCAGAGAGCAGGAUUAAAGCAAGGAGAGCCAACCAUGACUGGCAAAACACAGACCAGCAAUGUCACCAAUAAGAAUGACCCCAAGUCCAUCAACUCUCGCGUUUUCAUUGGCAAUCUAAAUACAGCCAUUGUCAAGAAGGUUGACAUUGAAGCCAUUUUCUCAAAGUAUGGAAAAAUAGUUGGAUGCUCAGUUCACAAAGGUUAUGCAUUUGUACAGUACAUGAGUGAACGGCACGCGAGAGCUGCCGUGGCUGGAGAAAAUGCCAGGAUCAUCGCAGGUCAGCCGCUCGGUAAGUCCUGCUCGGUUACGGGUUUCACUUUAAUGUUCUACUCUCUGCACAUAUCUGGAUAUGGCUUACUGUUAAAAGCCAGCAUUACCAUGACAUUUAUCUCUUAAUCAAUUAGAGUGCCUAUGCAUUUAUCAUUUAUAUUAUUUUCUUGUUCUCUUAUUGCUUUAUUACAAGUGUCUUAUUUUCUCCACAAAUUUAUAAGCAUGAGAUCAAAUCUGCUUUGCAAUACUUGUUACUUCCACCAAUCCUAACAGGUCCAGGCAAAUAAAAAAUAUGCAUCAUAUUUAACUUUAUUUGACUUAAAAUGAUGUCUUAUCUUCCAGGAAACACUAUGCUGAGAAAACAAAAACAAACAAACAAAAAAAAUACUUUACUUUUUAUACGUUUAGCAUUUGCUCUGAGAGGCUAAUGUAUUUUUGUCAUCUCUUGUUUUUAUUUUUUCGGGAGAAGGGACAGAAAAUAGCAAACGGAAGUAAAUCUUGGGGACUGGAAAAGGACUAUAAUCCAUUCUUUCUUACCUAAGCAGGGAUCUUGUUGUGUCUGCUCAGUCAUGUGCAAUAAUCAGAUUUAUGUUUAAUGUACAAGGAAGAAUAUGGUUUAUUUUUUUCAAAGAAAAGAGAGGAAUAUAGUCUGAAAUAAAAUGAA